AGUGAACGCUGGCGGCAGGCCUAACACAUGCAAGUCGAACGGCAGCACAGGAGAGCUUGCUCUCUGGUUGGCGAGUGGCGGACGGGUGAGGAGUACAUCGGAAUCUGCCCAGUAGUGGGGGAUAACGUAGGGAAACAUACGCUAAUACCGCAUACGACCUUCGGGGGAAAGAGGGGGACCGCAAUACCUCUCGCGCUUGUAGGAGCCGAUGUCGGAUUAGCUAGUUGGGGGGGUAAUGGCCCACCAAGGCGACGAUCCGUAGCUGGUCUGAGAGGAUGAUCAGCCACACUGGAACUGAGACACGGUCCAGACUCCUACGGGAGGCAGCAGUGGGGAAUAUUGGACAAUGGGCGCAAGCCUGAUCCAGCCAUGCCGCGUGGGUGAAGAAGGCCUUCGGGUUGUAAAGCCCUUUUGUUGGGAAAGAAAUGGUUCAGGCUAAUACCCUGGGAGGAUGACGGUACCCUAAGAAUAAGCACCGGCUAACUUCGUG
rnacentral:rRNA from 1 species